AUUUACCGGUCAUUCUGAUAUUAAUGCUCGCUAUGGGAACACAGGAUGGCCGGGCAGUGAUAGUUGUACAUUUCCAUCACUCGUUGUGUUGAUUUCAUCAUGUCCAUUAGGUGAUGUUUUUACACUAUAGAAUCAUAUUGCAAGUGCGCGCGCAUUUGCAAUAUGUUUCAAUGUGCAUUUACCAUAUGAAAUUUGACAUGCUCAAAAAUGCAAAAUUGACUGGUCUGAUGGACACAGGAUGGCCGAGCAGUGAUAGUUGUACAUUUCCAUCACUCGUUGUGUUGAUUUCAUCAUGUCCAUUAGGUGAUGUUUUUACACUAUAGAAUCAUAUUGCAAGUGCGCGCGCAUUUGCAAUAUGUUUCAAUGUGCAUUUACCAUAUGAAAUUUGACAUGCUCAAAAAUGCAAAAUUGACUGGUCUGAUGGACACAGGAUGGCCGAGCAGUGAUAGUUGUACAUUUCCAUCACUCGUUGUGUUGAUUUCAUCAUGUCCAUUAGGUGAUGUUUUUUCACUAUAGAAUCAUAUUGCAAAUGCACGUGCAUUGUUGUGCAACUGGUAACCCAAAAAUAAAAAUAUGGUUGUAAAUGCAUUUACCGGUCAUUCUGAUAUUAAUGCUCGCUAUGGGAACACAGGAUGGCCGGGCAGUGAUAGUUGUACAUUUCCAUCACUCGUUGUGUUGAUUUCAUCAUGUCCAUUAGGUGAUGUUUUUACACUAUAGAAUCAUAUUGCAAGUGCGCGCGCAUUUGCAAUAUGUUUCAAUGUGCAUUUACCAUAUGAAAUUUGACAUGCUCAAAAAUGCAAAAUUGACUGGUCUGAUGGACACAGGAUGGCCGAGCAGUGAUAGUUGUACAUUUCCAUCACUCGUUGUGUUGAUUUCAUCAUGUCCAUUAGGUGAUGUUUUUUUCACUAUAGAAUCAUAUUGCAAAUGCACGUGCAUUGUUGUGCAACUGGUAACCCA